UACGUAGGGUGCGAGCGUUAAUCGGAAUUACUGGGCGUAAGGCGUGCGUAGGCGGUUCGUUAUGUCUGCUGUGAAAGCCCCGGGCUUAACCUGGGAAUGGCAGUGGAAACUGGCGAACUGGAGUGUGGCAGAGGGGGGUGGAAUUCCGCGUGUAGCAGUGAAAUGCGUAGAGAUGCGGAGGAACACCGAUGGCGAAGGCAGCCCCCUGGGCUAACACUGACGCUCAGGCACGAAAGCGUGGGGAGCAAACAGG
rnacentral:rRNA from 1 species